rnacentral:rRNA from 1 species
GACGAACGCUGGCGGCGUGCUUAACACAUGCAAGUCGAACGGAAAGGCCCUGCUUUUGUUGGGUGCUCGUGUGGCGAACGGGUGAGUAACACGUGAGUAACCUGCCCCUGUCUUUGGGAUAACUUCACGAAACUGGGGCUCAUACCCGAUAUGAGCUCCUGCUGCAUGGUGGGGGUUGGAAAGUUUCGGCGGUUGGGGAUGGACUCGCGGCUUAUCCGCUUGUUGGUGGGGUAGUGGCUUACCAAGGCUUUGACGGGUAGCCUGCCUGAGAGGGUGACCGGCCACAUUGGGACUGAGAUACGGCCCAGAAUCCAACGGGAGGCAGCAGUGGGGAAUAUUGCACAAUGGGCGGAAGCCUGAUGCAGCAACGCCGCGUGCGGGAUGACGGCCUUCGGGUUGUAAACCGCUUUCGCCUGUGACGAAGAGUGAGUGACGGUAAUGGGUAAAGAAGCACCGGCUAACUACGUG